GAUGGGUUGUUGCUGGCUCUUAGGAGCAUGUGCACGCUUGUCAUCUUUAUCUAUCCACCUGUGCACCUUAUGUAGUCUUUGGAGGUAACGAGUGUGAAUAAUACUCGCACGAGUUUCUCUCCCAAGUCUAUGUUUUUCAUACACCACGUAGAAUGUCUUUGAAUGUAUUUCAUUGGGCCUCAGUGCCUAUAUAAAACACAAUACAACUUUCAGCAACGGAUCUCUUGGCUCUCGCAUCGAUGAAGAACGCAGCGAAAUGCGAUAAGUAAUGUGAAUUGCAGAAUUCAGUGAAUCAUCGAAUCUUUGAACGCACCUUGCGCUCCUUGGUAUCCCGAGGAGCAUGCCUGUUUGAGUGUCAUUUAAUUCUCAACCCCACCAGUCUUUUGUGAUUGGUUUGGUGGCUUGGAUGUGGGGGAUAUAAUAUGCGGGCCUCUUCUGAGGUCGGCUCCCCUGAAAUGCAUUAGCGGAACCGUUUGCGGACCCGUCACUGGUGUGAUAAUUAUCUACGCCAAUAAGACAACUGCUCUCUGGUUACUUCUGCUUCUAAUUGUCCGUCUUGGACAACGAUAUUCGAAUGCUUGACCUCAAAUCAGGUAGGACUACCCGCUGAACUUAAGCAUAUCAAUAAGCGGAGGAAAAGAAACUAACAAGGAUUCCCCUAGUAACUGCGAGUGAAGCGGGAAAAGCUCAAAUUUAAAAUCUGGCGGUCUUUGGCCGUCCGAGUUGUAAUCUAGAGAAGCGUCACCCGCGCUGGACCGUGUACAAGUCUCCUGGAAUGGAGCGUCAUAGAGGGUGAGAAUCCCGUCUCUGACACGGACUCCCAGGGCUUUGUGGUGCGCUCUCAAAGAGUCGAGUUGUUUGGGAAUGCAGCUCUAAAUGGGUGGUAAAUUCCAUCUAAAGCUAAAUAUUGGCGAGAGACCGAUAGCGAACAAGUACCGUGAGGGAAAGAUGAAAAGAACUUUGGAAAGAGAGUUAAACAGUACGUGAAAUUGCUGAAAGGGAAACGCUUGAAGUCAGUCGCGUUGUCCGGGGAUCAGCCUCGCUCUUGCGUGGUGUACUUCCUGGUUGACGGGUCAGCAUCAAUUUUGACCGCUGGAAAAGGUCAUGAGGAAUGUGGCAUCUUCGGAUGUGUUAUAGCCUCUUGUCGCAUACAGCGGUUGGGAUUGAGGAACUCAGCACGCCGUAAGGACGGGUUUCGACCACGUUCGUGCUUAGGAUGCUGGCAUAAUGGCUUUAAUCGACCCGUCUUGAAACACGGACCAAGGAGUCUAACAUGCCUGCGAGUGUUUGGGUGGAAAACCCGAGCGCGUAAUGAAAGUGAAAGUUGAGAUCCCUGUCGUGGGGAGCAUCGACGCCCGGACCAGAACUUUUGGGACGGAUCUGCGGUAGAGCAUGUAUGUUGGGACCCGAAAGAUGGUGAACUAUGCCUGAAUAGGGUGAAGCCAGAGGAAACUCUGGUGGAGGCUCGUAGCGAUUCUGACGUGCAAAUCGAUCGUCAAAUUUGGGUAUAGGGGCGAAAGACUAAUCGA
rnacentral:rRNA from 1 species